rnacentral:lncRNA from 1 species
CUAAAUGUUUCUUGGUUUCUUUCAUUCAGAAAAUAGGUGAACGAAGGCAGAGAUUGAGUUUGGUCCUUGAGCCAGUUAAAGUUUUCAGAUGGUCAGUUGCAGAGGAGAAGAUUUUUGACUUCACAGCCAUUCCAGGUGUUUAAAUAACUGGCUUUCAGUUUGUUUAAAUUGUCUGUUUCAAAUUGGUACACUUGCAGUAUGCUAAUUAGUGUUUUUCUUAUUCCACAGGAUUUGGUGGCAUUUGCAGGUGUCAAUGACAUGGCCAGUGAAGUAUUUUCAUUACAGCUGGCCAUGUCACCAACACCAAUGUUAAGCACUUUGACUGGCACUCUGGAGGUAAAUGGGAUUUCUGAGUCCUGUACAUUGUACGUUCUAUGGAUGUCAGGAGAUGAUGUACAGGAAAUACUGUCAAAUGAGCAAGAUUCGUCUACUUCAUGUGGGAAUGAAUCUUUGCUAUCCACUUCCAGAUCUCUUCUCUCCACGGUUCCUACACCCUCCAUAACUACCAAUACUAACAUGUGUCCUCUAGACAUUGAGUCUCAGACCUCGACAACUUCACUGCCUCCCCUACUGACCUCCCCCACUCACAGUCUUUGCCUUCCUCCAGACACUGUACUCCAGCCCUCUACAACUCUUAGCAUUUUCCCUCCUAUACCCCUUGGGCCCCUCACCUCUACCACUCACAACAUUCGCCUUCCUCCAGACGCUAUACCACCCAUCACCUCCACUCACAGUAUAGUUCCUUCUCCAGACACUAUGGCCCUGACCUCCCCCGCUCGAAGCAUUUCUCCUCCUCUGUACAUUGCAACCCCAGCCACCCCCACUCACAGCAUUUCCUCUCCUCUUGAGCCUGUACCCAUCUUAAGUCCCACACUUGAGGUAGACCAUGAUCUGGAUGAUCACUUCAUGUCAGAUGGCUCUGCGAACAGGGAGGUACAGAAUUGCUGGCAGGAUGAUGGCUGUGUGUCUCCUGCAUGGAGGUGUUGCACCAAAUUGCUUUUCUCAAAGAACGUACAACAUGGUGGCAGGAAGACCUAAUCACCCGGUAAAAUUAAA